rnacentral:misc_RNA from 1 species
UCGAGUAAUUGGUUGCUAUUUAUAGCACCAAACUCCCACCCUUAUGUUUACUACAAUUUGUUAUCUUUGGCAAAGCGUUUUUUCUAAAAAGACCACUGGUAGUGAAAAACUAUGAGUGAGUCUUUGCCAAAGUUGAUUUAACUCUUGAACUUUUUUAUGGUGGUCUGAGUUUAAACAAAGAAAUAAUUA